rnacentral:rRNA from 1 species
UACGUAGGGUGCGAGCGUUAAUCGGAAUUACUGGGCGUAAAGGGCUCGUAGGCGGCUAUUUAAGUCAGACGUGAAAUCCCUCGGCUUAACCGGGGAACGGCGUCUGAUACUGGACGGCUUGAGUUCGGGAGAGGGAUGCGGAAUUCCAGGUGUAGCGGUGAAAUGCGUAGAUAUCUGGAGGAACACCGGUGGCGAAGGCGGCAUCCUGGACCGAUACUGACGCUGAGGAGCGAAAGCCAGGGGAGCAAACGGG